UACGGAGGCAGCAGUGGGGAAUAUUGCACAAUGGGCGCAAGCCUGAUGCAGCCAUGCCGCGUGUAUGAAGAAGGCCUUCGGGUUGUAAAGUACUUUCAGUCGUGAGGAAGGUGUUAAGGUUAAUAACCUUAGCAAUUGACGUUAGCGACAGAAGAAGCACCGGCUAACUCCGUGCCAGCAGCCGCGGUAAUACGGAGGGUGCGAGCGUUAAUCGGAAUUACUGGGCGUAAAGGGCACGCAGGCGGUUAAUUAAGUUGGAUGUGAAAUCCCCGGGCUUAACCUGGGAAUGGCAUUCAAGACUGGUUAGCUAGAGUCUUGUAGAGGGGGUAGAAUUCCAUGUGUAGCGGUGAAAUGCGUAGAGAUGUGGAGGAAUACCGGUGGCGAAGGCGGCCCCUGGACAAAGACUGACGCUCAUGUGCGAAAGCGUGGGGAGCAAACAGGGAUUAGAUACC
rnacentral:rRNA from 1 species